UCCCUGGUGACUCAGCUGGUAAAGAAUCUGUCUGGAAUACAGGAGACCCAGGUUCAAUCCCUGGCUGGGGAA